ACUACGGGAGGCAGCAGUGAGGAAUAUUGGUCAAUGGGCGCGAGCCUGAACCAGCCAAGUAGCGUGAAGGAUGACUGCCCUACGGGUUGUAAACUUCUUUUAUAAAGGAAUCAAGUGAGGCACGUGUGCCUUUUUGUAUGUACUUUAUGAAUAAGGAUCGGCUAACUCCGUGCCAGCAGCCGCGGUAAUACGGAGGAUCCGAGCGUUAUCCGGAUUUAAUGGGUUUAAAGGGAGCGUAUAUGGGUUGUUAAGUCAGUUGUGAUAGUGUGCGGCUCAACCGUAAAAUUGCAAUUGAUACUGGCAGCCUUGAGUACAGUUGAGGUAGGCGGAAUUCUUGGUGUAGCGGUGAAAUGCGUAGAUAUCACGAAGAACACCGAUUGCGAAGGCAGCCUACUAAACUGCCACUGACAUUGAUGCUCGAAAGUGUGGGUAUCAAACAGGAUUAGAUACCCGAGUAGUC
rnacentral:rRNA from 1 species